GACGAACGCUGGCGGCGUGCUUAACACAUGCAAGUCGACGAGCGGCGAACGGGUGCGUAACGCGUGAGUAACCUGCCCCCUCUCUGGGAUGACAGUUGGAAACGGCUGCUAAUACCGGAUAGUGGGGGAUGGACUCGCGUCCUAUCAGCUUGUUGGUGGGGUAGUGGCCUACCAAGGCGACGACGGGUAGCCGGCCUGAGAGUGCGACCGGCCACAGUGGGACUGAGAUACGGCCCAAACUGCUACGGGAGUGAGCAGUGGGGAAUAGUGCACAAUGGGCGCAAGCCUGAUGCAGCGACGCCGCGUGAGGGAUGGAGGCCUUCGGGUGGUAAGCCUCUUUCGCCAGUGAAGCGGUAGCUGGAUAAGAAGCGCCGGCUAACUACGUGCCAGCAGCCGCGGUAAUAC
rnacentral:rRNA from 1 species